AUGCCCCUGGACUUCACCAAGCACUUCGUCGCGGGGCCGACGGAGUUCAAGCUCAGGAACAACACCGCCUGCUCCUGGAAGGUGACGGUCAAGUUGAUGAACGGUAGGGUGACCAUGGAUCAGGGUUGGGCCACCUACGCAGCCGUUCAUUAGAUCAAGAUCGGCUACAUGGUGACGUUCAAGCUCCUCACUCCCGACACCCUCAAGGUCAUCAUCUUCGACGACGGUGGCAUUGAGGUCGUCAACAAGUGCGGGAAGCACGACGAAGCCUUCGCCACCAAGGAGUAG
rnacentral:rRNA from 1 species